GAGUUUGAUCCUGGCUCAGGAUGAACGCUGGCGGCGUGCUUAACACAUGCAAGUCGAACGAAGCACUUUAUUUGAUUUCCUUCGGGACUGAUUAUUUUGUGACUGAGUGGCGGACGGGUGAGUAACGCGUGGGUAACCUGCCUUGUACAGGGGGAUAACAGUUGGAAACGGCUGCUAAUACCGCAUAAGCGCACAGUACCGCAUGGUACGGUGUGAAAAACUCCGGUGGUAUGAGAUGGACCCGCGUCUGAUUAGGUAGUUGGUGGGGUAACGGCCUACCAAGCCGACGAUCAGUAGCCGACCUGAGAGGGUGACCGGCCACAUUGGGACUGAGACACGGCCCAAACUCCUACGGGAGGCAGCAGUGGGGAAUAUUGCACAAUGGGGGAAACCCUGAUGCAGCGACGCCGCGUGAGCGAUGAAGUAUUUCGGUAUGUAAAGCUCUAUCAGCAGGGAAGAAAAUGACGGUACCUGACUAAGAAGCCCCGGCUAACUACGUGCCAGCCGCCGCGGUAAUAC
rnacentral:rRNA from 1 species